CCUACGGGUGGCAGCAGUGAGGAAUAUUGGUCAAUGGGCGGAAGCCUGAACCAGCCAAGUAGCGUGCAGGAUGACGGCCCUACGGGUUGUAAACUGCUUUUAUACGGGAAUAACGCGCCUUACGUGUAGGGCUUUGCAUGUACCGUAUGAAUAAGGACCGGCUACUUCCGUGCCUGCAGCCGCGGUAAUACGGAAGGUCCGGGCGUUAUCCGGAUUUAUUGGUUUUAAAGGGAGCGUAGGCCGCAUGUCAAGCGUGCUGUGAAAUGUCCGGGCUCAACCCGGGACUUGCAGCGCGAACUGGCGUGAGUGAGUCCGCGGAAAGCAGGCGGAAUUCGGCGUGUAGCGGUGAAAUGCUUAGAUAUGACGAAGAACCCCGAUUGCGAAGGCAGCUUGCUGCAGCGGAACUGACGCUGAUGCUCGAAAGCGCGGGUAUCGAACAGGAUUAGAUACCCUUGUAGUC
rnacentral:rRNA from 1 species